AGGGUGUAAACGCUGCAGACUUGGUGUUGGAGGCCCUUUGGGGGGCAUUCAGUGCCGGAGAGAAGUUGUUAAGUCUGCUACUUGGGGAGUACGUCCGCAAGGAUGAACUUAAAGGAAUUGCGGGGGAGCACCGCAACGGGAGGAGCGUGCGGUUUAAUUGGAUUCAACACCGUAAAACUCACCAGGGAAGACUGUUACAUGAAGGCCGAGAUGAAGACUCUGCUAGAUUUUUCAGAGAGGAGGUGCAUGGCGUCAGUG
rnacentral:rRNA from 1 species